ACUAAUGGGAUUUUGGCCCUGCAGCAUGGAGCUCAUCCAUCCGGUUGGGUUUUUCUCCACCCGAUCGCUCAUAAUAUCAUCUCAAGAGCACUAGUUUCAUAUUUUUGUAGAAAAACGUCAUCAUCAUAACAUUACAGUAAAACUCGUUUUCUGCCUUUGUUAUUUUCAAACGUGUAUUGUGUAUUAUUUGAAGUUUCAAGUUGUCCGAAGAAAGUGGACGCGCAGAGACGGUUGCAGCACACGGUAAAGUGAUCAGCAACAAAGCAAACAGCUCGAAUUGGUUGACUCACGUAACAACAUCCAACUUUCUCUGCCGAGCAAAGGCAACUCUCUCUCGAUUCAAGGUUGUGGAAAAUGCAAUGGAUAGAAAUGCUCGAACGAAUAGCAGAUAAGAGUACAUGAACUCUUACGGCUUUGGACUCCGGAGGGUUAGGAUUAAUGAUUGCCCAUUAUUUACAACUCUGCUAGCAACUCCAACGAGGAAGGUACGAUCAGCAAAAUGAAGUGAAAUUGAUGAAACGCAUGAACUUGAUUCCUUCCAAUGAAUUAUAAUUCAAUGUAAGUACAACGAUGCGAUGCGAUGCGUGGACAUAGGUUGAUUGCAGAGUUGAAAGGAGUGGCAUCAUCAUCAUCAGCAUCGGGAAUGAGUUAGUGCGAGACGCUAGUGCAUACGAGGGUUUGAAAUAAACAGAUAACUGCAAAAGCAAAAAGGUGCGUGCCAAGGGGUCGUAAAGACCCGUAUAAUAAUAAACAUUGUUUUAACGUUGCAAGAAAAGUUUGAGGUGGAGAUGUAACGGACCGCUCUAUAUGCGUGACCGAGCCCUUUAUUGCACAGUACCAAUUCGCACUGACCAGUGCACGUUUUACCAAAUUUGGAGCUGUGCGGAUGGCAAUUUUCUAAAUUGAAGUAACGUGAAUGGACAUUGAAAAUUAAAAAAAUCACAUUAAAAACAUGAUCGGUUCAAUUUUUAAAAUUUAGAAUUGUAGGUUUGCCGUAUUUUAUGAGUCCCAUACAGUUAUCUUGUACAACUGAACAAGGACAAAGGAAUGAUGAGGGAAGUGGUCCUCUAGUUUAUUGUCCUCUAUUUUCUAUACACACGUAUCUGUGCAGCUGAGGGAUGCUUGAUAAAAUCACACCACUUGAGAUGAUAGAGUUUGUCAUCAUCAUCCAUAACUUUGAUUCUUCGAUCUUGGAGACACUGGAGCUUGCCUAAAAAAGCAAGACAACGACGUCGGAGCGUGCUGCAAUGAGAAUAAAGCUUAAGACAAGGACUUAGCCUGACUAAGGAAGGAUUUUAACUCUCUGAUGGCUUUUUUCUUCUGAUUACCAACCAAGUUAUCUUACGCAGAGGGGAAAUGUCAUUACUAGAAUUCUAUCAUGCGAUUCAUCCCUGAGGAGAAAAGGCUGCCGCCUGCGUGCCUGGGAUGCAUCUCGGUCCAUACCAACAUUUACGGCCGAGGGUGAUACUCUGUCCAAUCAAAUCCACUUGACGAUGAAAACCGUUUCUUUCAAGGCAGUUUGGAGCUGUGGCGACGAAAAAUCCACUCGUAUCGGAAUGGAUAUCCGCUGAUAGAAUCGAGAGGGAUCAAACGCCAAUAAACCGGGCACUUAUUUCUGCCAAAUGAGUUUUGUUUCGGACUCAUUUCCGAGGAAAACCUCAAAAUCUUCAAUGAUUCUUAUGGCAAAGCUGCUUAUUGGGGACAUUAGGAGCCCAGCAGAAAUAUUUUCCUCCAAGAAUCUCGAAUCUUUUCUAAGAGGACAUAUUAUUUAUCCUUCAAGUCCUUUCUUUUUUUGGGUAAUAAUUGAAUGUUGGUAAUUAAAUAAGAUACCACGCCGUGAAUUUUCUUGUCUUGUGCGUCACAAAAGAUAAUGUGUAUCACAAAAUUAAAUACUCAGUCAGCCAUACAUGCACCAUUUGCUUGUUUCUUAUAUUAGAAAACUCUGGUUUAUCUGAUUUAUAUUGGAGAUUCUUUAUAUCAUCUAAAGGUGAACGUGUAUAUACCACAAGAAACUACUCGAUACGCCAUCAAAGAAAAAUGCAAUCGUAACAUUACCCCGUUUCUGGCGAGCAUGGUUCCCUGGUGUAUUUUCGAGACUGUCCCGAGUAACACCGCCUAAUUGCUGUCCUGCUUGAUGAUCAGACACGAUUAAAGAGCGAGUCUUGUUACAUGAGCGUCAAGGGUGGUCCAUGUGCUGUCACCUUAAGACCUUAAGUCCUUGUGCCACAACAGUGCUGAGUUGAAUCCCAGAAUCCAUUUUCUCGCUAAACUUAUGGAAAAGUUUCAUUUGACACAUCCUCAAAUCCUUCUUAAAUCGAUCCUAAAUCCUCAUCACCUUUGAGUCACAUGAUAUCUCUGGUAGCCUUACAAUUCGUAAUACAUACGUAUGUACCUACGUACGCUUUGGAUUACACCUUUCACUGUUAUAUCUUUUCCAGCAAUUCAUGGAACAGAAAAAUACAAUACAAAGUUUGGUUGUCAUCAGCAGAUUGUGGGCGAUAGAUAUAAGUGCAUAUUUCACGUUUAAGAUCAAGAUCUUAUGCAUACGCGAGUAAGCGUAAACUGAUAUGUAUGCACCUGUGUUUUAUGCACAUUGCUUAAUUAAGUGGGGUACUUAAUGCAUAUAGGGGGCACGAAUGCAGUGCCCAUUUUGACACCUACGCAGGAAUAUAACAUUAGCCUAAAAACUGGAAAAGCUUGACUAAAUCCUACUCAUCCAUGACAUUGUAAAUUCGAAGUAACCAACUCUAGUACUUUGUGAUGCAAGACGAUUCCCCUUUAUUCACAGAUUUGCUUAGGUUGCGCAAGUAGAAAAUUGACAAUAAAACCUAAUAAGCAGAUAUAAGAAGCCGACGCUUUUUACUCACACACAGCACAAAGUAAUUCCCCGUCGUCCUGGCUUCACUCUCCCUGGAAAUUAACCGUCUUCGUAUUCAUUCUUCGGGAUUAUUAGGGCGAAAACUCACCCUUCGUAAAACCAAGUAGUUGGCAAAUAGACGGUCAUUCGGUCUUCGUUCGUCGAAUACUAAUUUGUGUGCCACGUUCUCUUGAGUCAAUCCGAAGGGAUUUGUCUCAUAAACACUGAAAAUAAAAUCCGACUAAACUGCCUGCUUGAUGAAGCAGUCUUCCUCCCUCUCGAUCUCCAUGCCUGGUGGCGAUGUGGUUUUAAAGUAAGUGGCAAAGUGAGGGGAGGAAUCCAUUAGAAUCCGAUGCAUUUUGCAUUCACUUCGCUUUAAGGAGAUGCAAUAAAAAUCUAAACCGAAACCAAAAUUCAAAGCUGCUUCUAAGGCUUUGGGUCUACUCCUUGUUAUAAAAACCUUAAAUAAUCAGUCUUCCAGUAAAUCAGAGGAACGGAGAAUAAAUAAGUGGCAGAGAUAUGUAAAUACGUAUCCAAAAUUGGGAAUAUAUUUGGUCGCAGUCGGUAUAGUUUAAACUUUGAGUAUUUACAGAAAUAGAUUAAUUUUGAGCCGCAUAAAAAACAGCGGAAGCGGGGAGAGUGAAAGCUAUAGUAAAUAUCUUUUAUAGUUUGUUUAUUUGGUUAAAACUUAAAUGCCUAAAGUAAGAGCUUGGUUUUUUUAAAUCAAGAUUUUUAACCGUUUGCAAGUGCUGCUUGCUACCUUACUCCCUUCACAUCAUGGUUCUGACAGCGUCAUUUUUAAAAGUCAGAGUGUUUACAUAGAUUGAGAGAAAAAUUUGAAAAUGCACACGAGUGAAAAAACAAACGAGAGCAUGAAACGUCCUGGAGGAAGCUGCUGGUUGCUGUACAAUAUUCCAGUCUAAAAAGCCAGAAGACUUUGUCUAAUUGGUUCAUCAUUCAAUGUUAAGAAUGUGUGCACACAGUGUGUUGCUUAUUUGUCGCAUAAUCACAACAAGGCAGCAUGACAUCACAUUCAUAAAUUCGUUUGGAGACUCAUCUUGAUGACUCCAUAAAUAUCAAACAUUUUCAACAACUCGGCACUUAAAACUUCAAUCAGCUUCACACAAUUGGAGCAUAAAAUUAUCUACAUCUGUUAAUCCUGCUUUCAAAGACUCGGCACACAACUCUAAAAAACUGUCAUUUUACAGAAGGGCCAUUGGUGUUUCGCACCCUAUAAAUGGCUUAGAGAUGUCAUACCUGAAUUAGUUUCAGGUGUGGUGAAAGAUAUGUAAAAGCUGUUAUUUUAAAAAGCAUGCUGCUAUCAUUCACUGUAGAGAAAGCUUACUCAAUAUCUUUCAUCGCACUUCUUGUAUCGUCAAAUGGUGAGCUUUCUAUUUGGGUUUCGUUUACUUUGUAUUUUAAGAUUUUGGUCGUCAAAGUAGACAUUAAUUUCGCAAGUCUACAUAAAUUUGAUAUUUAUCUUGUAAUAUGCAUCGACUUUUUAUCCGUGUCUUUAGAUACGUUAAAAAUUGACACUUUGCAUAGGUGUUAAUUUUUUGGAAUCUCCUAAAACACGUUUUUGGUGGUGCUUUUCUUAGCCUCUAGGCCAAGGACCAAGCUCUAAUUACUCAUAAUUAACCUUUAUGGUAGAAGUUAGCCCCCUUUCUGGGACUAAUUUCAUCCAAAUCAGAUAAUAAUGGAGGGACUUAUGGAUCAUGGUUACUUUUCAAAAGCUGGGCGAUUGCACGCGAUUUGUUCUAUUUUAUACCUUUCUAAGAAAAACUAUUAUCAAGGACUAUUUGGAUUAAAACUUCUUGUACUAUUUUUAUCUGUAUGUCAACAGUUUAAAGAAAUAAUUUUUGUACAACUGAGCACCAUGUCAAUCAAAAUA